CGUGAUUGCGGAUGCUGUGCAGG
rnacentral:miRNA from 1 species